rnacentral:lncRNA from 1 species
UAAGAACUCACCUGGAGUCGCGCCCUCCGAAGCUGAGCCGCCCUCGGCCAGCGCUGCAGGUUUCAGUUUCGAGCGCACCUGCGAGCGGAACCACGGGCCGGCUGGGAUCCCGCUCCCGGGCUGAGCCACCCGGGUUAUAGAAGGGGAAUAUCGGGAAGCUCUCCAAGUCACUGCCCAGGUCUUCGAACCUCCUCUGGGUGACAAGGACCCCCCCUAUUCGGAGGUCCGGAGAGAAUUUGCCCAAAGUUACUCCGAGUGAGUGACAGAACUGGAAACCCGGAGAUCCUGUCUUUCAAAACCGGAAGGCUCUUCCCAGUAAGCCUGACGGCCUCUGAGGCCGUAUCCAUUGGCCACUAAAGGGAAGGCCGAGGAACCUCGUAUUGUAACCUUAAAGCUACUCACAGAUUCCUGGCAGUGACUCAGCACGGUACAGUAGCUGUGAUUCAGAGUGCGGGCACCCAGGGCCUACGGAUGAGCCUUGGCAACUGCUUAGUUCUCACUCCUUGAACCCAGAGGGUCACAGCCACCGAGAGGAGGCGCCCACACCCCAUUCCCUCAGUCUUCCAGAACGCCACCGCGACCACACCGCUGCGGGCUGCUCUGCCUUGUAGGCACGGUCAACCGUCAAGGCCAAGGCAUUUGGUGGGACAGUUCCAGAGCUGGGGUCGGG